GCCCUAGUAGUUCAGAGCAGAACGUUGGUCUUGUAAGCCAAAUGUCGGGGGCUAAAUUCCCCCCUAGUGCU
rnacentral:tRNA from 1 species